AUGAAAGCCAGAUUUGAAGGGCAUCCAUGGGGUUUUAUGUUACAAGAUACUAUUUUUUAAACAAAAAUCACAAACAUAAUGAUUAAAUCACUCCGUGUCUCAUGCUGAUUUCCUAGGAAGAAGUUGGAAAUCAUGAUGUACCAUUUACUACAGGUGGAAGACCAGUAAAACAUUCUGUUGAAGCACUUUUGUUUCCAUUUCAGGGGAAGGAAGCACCCUUCUUGCUCCUUGAGUCAUUUGCUGAAGAUGUUUUCCAUGUACAUUAUAUUACACUACUUUGGAAAAAACAAACAGAACAUAAAAACAUGAUGUAAAGGGACGCCUGGGUGGCUCAGCGGUUUAG
rnacentral:lncRNA from 12 species